GCGGCGUGCUAAUACAUGCAAGUCGAACGAGUUUUGGUCGAUGAACGGUGCUUGCAUUGUGAUUCAACUUAAAACGAGUGGCGGACGGGUGAGUAACACGUGGGUAACCUGCCCUUAAGUGGGGGAUAACAUUUGGAAACAGAUGCUAAUACCGCAUAAAUCCAAGAACCGCAUGGUUCUUGGCUGAAAGAUGGCGCAAGCUAUCGCUUUUGGAUGGACCCGCGGCGUAUUAGCUAGUUGGUGAGGUAACGGCUCACCAAGGCGAUGAUACGUAGCCGAACUGAGAGGUUGAUCGGCCACAUUGGGACUGAGACACGGCCCAAACUCCUACGGGAGGCAGCAGUAGGGAAUCUUCCACAAUGGACGCAAGUCUGAUGGAGCAACGCCGCGUGAGUGAAGAAGGCUUUCGGGUCGUAAAACUCUGUUGUUGGAGAAGAAUGGUCGGCAGAGUAACUGUUGUCGGCGUGACGGUAUCCAACCAGAAAGCCACGGCUAACUACGUGCCAGCAGCCGCGGUAAUACGUAGGUGGCAAGCGUUAUCCGGAUUUAUUGGGCGUAAAGCGAGCGCAGGCGGUUUUUUAAGUCUGAUGUGAAAGCCCUCGGCUUAACCGAGGAAGCGCAUCGGAAACUGGGAAACUUGAGUGCAGAAGAGGACAGUGGAACUCCAUGUGUAGCGGUGAAAUGCGUAGAUAUAUGGAAGAACACCAGUGGCGAAGGCGGCUGUCUGGUCUGUAACUGACGCUGAGGCUCGAAAGC
rnacentral:rRNA from 1 species